AUUGAACGCUGGCGGCAGGCCUAACACAUGCAAGUCGAUCGAGCGGCGGACGGGUGAGUAAUGUAUGGGGACUGCCCGAUAGAGGGGGAUCACUACUGGAAACGGUAGCUAAUACCGCAUACUAUCGGAUAACCCAUAUGGGAUUAGCUAGUAGGUGAGGUAAUUGCGCACCUAGGCGACGAUCCCUAGCUGGUCUGAGAGGCUGCUCCGCCCCACUGGGACUGAGACACGGCCCAGACUCCUACGGAGGCAGCAGUGGGGAAUAUUGCACAAUGGGCGCAAGCCUGAUGCAGCCAUGCCGCGUGUAUGAAGAAGGCCUUCGGGUUGUAAAGUACUUUCAGUCGGGAGGCGUUCCCGACCGAAGAAGCACCGGCUAACUCCGUGCCAGCAGCCGCGGUAAUUC
rnacentral:rRNA from 1 species